rnacentral:rRNA from 1 species
CUCAGGACGAACGCUGGCGGCGUGCCUAAUACAUGCAAGUCGAACGCUUCUUUUUCCACCGGAGCUUGCUCCACCGGAAAAAGAGGAGUGGCGAACGGGUGAGUAACACGUGGGUAACCUGCCCAUCAGAAGGGGAUAACACUUGGAAACAGGUGCUAAUACCGUAUAACAAUCRAAACCGCAUGGUUUUGAUUUGAAAGGCGCUUUCGGGUGUCGCUGAUGGAUGGACCCGCGGUGCAUUAGCUAGUUGGUGAGGUAACGGCUCACCAAGGCCACGAUGCAUAGCCGACCUGAGAGGGUGAUCGGCCACAUUGGGACUGAGACACGGCCCAAACUCCUACGGGAGGCAGCAGUAGGGAAUCUUCGGCAAUGGACGAAAGUCUGACCGAGCAACGCCGCGUGAGUGAAGAAGGUUUUCGGAUCGUAAAACUCUGUUGUUAGAGAAGAACAAGGAUGAGAGUAACUGUUCAUCCCUUGACGGUAUCUAACCAGAAAGCCACGGCUAACUACGUGCCAGCAGCCGCGGUAAUACGUAGGUGGCAAGCGUUGUCCGGAUUUAUUGGGCGUAAAGCGAGCGCAGGCGGUUUCUUAAGUCUGAUGUGAAAGCCCCCGGCUCAACCGGGGAGGGUCAUUGGAAACUGGGAGACUUGAGUGCAGAAGAGGAGAGUGGAAUUCCAUGUGUAGCGGUGAAAUGCGUAGAUAUAUGGAGGAACACCAGUGGCGAAGGCGGCUCUCUGGUCUGUAACUGACGCUGAGGCUCGAAAGCGUGGGGAGCAAACAGGAUUAGAUACCC